rnacentral:misc_RNA from 1 species
AAAAAAAGGAAGUGCCGNCCGAUGCGACAACUGACGACAUCCCUAGUUAGCUGACU